rnacentral:rRNA from 1 species
GCCCAGACUCCUACGGGAGGCAGCAGUGAGGAAUAUUGGUCAAUGGGCGCGAGCCUGAACCAGCCAAGUCGCGUGAGGGAUGACGGUCCUACGGAUUGUAAACCUCUUUUGCCGGGGAGCAAGCGUGCGUUCGUGAACGCACGUCGAGAGUACCCGGAGAAAAAGCAUCGGCUAACUCCGUGCCAGCAGCCGCGGUAAUACGGAGGAUGCGAGCGUUAUCCGGAUUUAUUGGGUUUAAAGGGUGCGUAGGCGGGAUGCCAAGUCAGCGGUAAAAAUGCGGUGCUCAACGCCGUCGAGCCGUUGAAACUGGCGUUCUUGAGAUGUCGAGAGGUAUGCGGAAUGCGCAGUGUAGCGGUGAAAUGCUUAGAUAUUGCGCAGAACUCCGAUUGCGAAGGCAGCAUACCGGCGGCGAUCUGACGCUGAGGCACGAAAGCGUGGGUAUCGAACAGGAUUAGAUACCCUGGUAC